rnacentral:rRNA from 1 species
UACGAAGGGGGCUAGCGUUGCUCGGAAUCACUGGGCGUAAAGCGCACGUAGGCGGCUUGCUAAGUCAGGGGUGAAAUCCUGGAGCUCAACUCCAGAACUGCCUUUGAUACUGGCGAUCUCGAGUCCGGGAGAGGUGAGUGGGAUUCCCAGUGUAGCGGUGAAAUGCGUAGAUAUUGGGAGGAACACCAGUGGCGAAGGCGGCUCACUGGACUGGUACUGACGCUGAUGCGCGAAAGCGUGGGGAGCAAACAGG